GACGAACGCUGGCGGCGUGCCUAAUACAUGCAAGUCGAGCGAAGUUUUUCUGGUGCUUGCACUAGAAAAACUUAGCGGCGAACGGGUGAGUAACACGUAAAGAACCUGCCUCAUAGACUGGGACAACUAUUGGAAACGAUAGCUAAUACCGGAUAACAGUAUUUCUCGCAUGAGAGAUAUUUAAAAGUUGGUUAUGCUAACACUAUGAGAUGGCCUUGCGGUGCAUUAGCUAGUUGGUGGGGUAAAGGCCCACCAAGGCGACGAUGCAUAGCCGACCUGAGAGGGUGAUCGGCCACACUGGGACUGAGACACGGCCCAGACUCCUACGGGAGGCAGCAGUAGGGAAUCUUCCGCAAUGGGCGAAAGCCUGACGGAGCAACGCCGCGUGAGUGAAGAAGGAUUUCGGUUCGUAAAGCUCUGUUGUUAGGGAAGAAUGGAUAUGUAGUAACUAUACAUGUAAGAGACGGUACCUAACCAGAGAGCCACGGCUAACUACGUG
rnacentral:rRNA from 1 species